GAGUUUGAUCCUGGCUCAGGAUGAACGCUGGCGGCGUGCCUAAUACAUGCAAGUCGAGCGAACUGNUUAGAAGCUUGCUUCUAUGACGUUAGCGGCGGACGGGUGAGUAACACGUGGGCAACCUGCCUGUAAGACUGGGAUAACUUCGGGAAACCGAAGCUAAUACCGGAUAGGAUCUUCUCCUUCAUGGGAGAUGAUUGAAAGAUGGUUUCGGCUAUCACUUACAGAUGGGCCCGCGGUGCAUUAGCUAGUUGGUGAGGUAACGGCUCACCAAGGCAACGAUGCAUAGCCGACCUGAGAGGGUGAUCGGCCACACUGGGACUGAGACACGGCCCAGACUCCUACGGGAGGCAGCAGUAGGGAAUCUUCCGCAAUGGACGAAAGUCUGACGGAGCAACGCCGCGUGAGUGAUGAAGGCUUUCGGGUCGUAAAACUCUGUUGUUAGGGAAG
rnacentral:rRNA from 2 species